UCAGAUCAAAGAGUGACUUGUUCAUGAA
rnacentral:piRNA from 1 species